rnacentral:rRNA from 1 species
CCCGGUGAGUAUUUAACGGCCGCAGUUAAGAGCUGUGCUAAGGUAGCGUAGUAAGUUGUCCUUUAAAUGGGGAAAGGAAUGAAUGGUUUGACGUGGGGAUAACUGUCUCCGAUGAAAAAGAAGAAAUUUUCUUUUCAGUGAAAAGCCUGAAAUAGAAUUAAAAGACGAGAAGACCCUGUCGAGCUUAAAUAGAAAUGGUAGUGGUAUUUUUUUAAAAUUUAGUUGGGGCAACUUAGGAGCAAAAUUAGACUCCUUGAAGGAAUAAAGAUCCAGAAGUUCUGAAUAGAGAAAAAGCUACCGCAGGGAUAACAGCGUUAUCUUUUCUGAGAGAACAAAUUGAAGAAAGG